CCUCUUCAGUGAGAUUUUACACUGAGUACGUGUCGUUCGAAACAUGUUCGAAACAGCUUCGAAAUUAUCGUUUUCCCUUUUAGAAUUACUCAAAAUUUUCUUCAGAUUUCCAUUAAAGAAUUUUCCUUUAUAAUUAUCAAAGGAAAACCGGUAUACCGAUAAUAUCGGUAUAAUUUUUUCGGUAUACCGAUACCGAAAAUUUCUCAUACCGAACAUUCCUAGCCAUUUCUAGUGCGAUUUUCUUCCUCUGAUGUAUGUGAACGAGUAAAUAAGUUAUGAAUAUUCUGAGUAUAUGCCUCAUUGAUCUACCCUCAUCUGAACAUUCAUAACUCAUCCACUCGUUCACAUCCAUCGGAAGAAGAAAAUCGCACUUAAAAUCGCAGCAGAAAUUGCAAGUGUAAACAGGCCUUAUGAGUGAAAGUGAAGCCAAGAUGGCGGCCAUUGACGUCCAAUAGCUGUGAAGGUCGUAAACAACUUUUAUACCAUUUUCCCCAGCUAAUUCCAGUUUAUUUCUAACGGAUCGUAUCGCUAAUCAAGUUUUCAGUUCGUAAAACCAUCGUGUUAUUCUUUAAAUCGAUGUCAAAAUACGAAAUUUCGGCACACUCCUUGCCAAGAUGGUGGACAUUGAAGAAGCUAUUGGACCCAAGUUCCAGUCCCUUUCUAUUGUUUUUGUCUGUGCGGUUAAUACGAAGCUGGCUUCACUUUUUGGACUCGAGUUCUCUCUCAAUUAUGGUUUGCCAGUCCAACACUCAACGAACCUAGCUACAUGGUCAAGUUGGUGAGAGUGGUUGAUAUCUCGGAAAUGAGUGCAUGUAGUCCCAUCGAUAUGAUUCUUACUGCCACUACUACAGUACAUACUUGCUCGAACCGAAUUGACCUCGUAGCUCAGUAAGUAGAGUACCCCCGCUCUACAUAUUAUUGUAUUUAUGGUGAAAAUAGACAGCUCAACUUUGCACGAGUUAUUUAUCUCGGUUUCGCGAUGUGGAAAUAAGUUAAUAUCUUGAAAGUACUUUUGAAUACAUUCUUUAGAAUUGUCAUGAAUCAAAUUUUGAAGUUUUUCAUUUUAAAGGUAAAUCACCUUAAAACCAAAAUAUCCGCCGUUUUGAAACGUCAUUCUUGCCAUAGCAACGACAGUUGCGUAACUUUUGUAAAAACUCUUAAGGUGGCUCGAUACAGUUUUCAAAUAUUCAGGUGUUCAACACUUUGACAUGUUCAAACUACGCAUUUUUAGGAUUUAUUCAGCAGAUAUUGGGUUUUUUAUACAUUUGAUAACUCUACUUUCAAAUUAUAUUAGUUUUAUUCUAAAAUCUUGUAUGACGGAACUUUCUCUAAGCCGCAUUUUAG